CCUACGGGUGGCAUCAGUGGGGGAUAUUGCUCAAUGGGGGAAACCCUGAUGCAGCGACGCCGCGUGGGUGAAGAAGCGCCUCGGCGCGUAAAGCCCUGUUAGCCGGGAAGAAAAUGACGGUACCUGAAGAAGAAGCCCCGGCUAACUACGUGCCAGCAGCCGGGGUAAUACGUAGGGGGCAAGCGUUAUCCGGAUUUACUGGGUGUAAAGGGGGUGCAGGCGGGGAUGCAAGCCAGGAGUGAAAGCCCGGGGCCCAACCCCGGGACUGCCCUUGGAACUGCGUGGCUAGAGUGCAGGAGGGGCAGGCGGAAUGCCUGGUGUAGCGGUGAAAUGCGUAGAUAUCAGGAAGAACACCGAUUGCGAAGGCAGCCUGCUGGACUGCAACUGACGUUGAGGCCCGAAAGCGUGGGGAGCAAACAGGAUUAGAUACCCCAGUAGUC
rnacentral:rRNA from 1 species